rnacentral:rRNA from 1 species
AAGCCGGUGAAGGUCAACCGUGAGGUUGGCUGGAGGUAUCGGAAGUGAGAAUGCUGACAUGAGUAACGAUAAACAGUGUGAGAAACACUGUCGCCGAAAGACCAAGGGUUCCUGCGUAAAGCUAAUCUGCGCAGGGUUAGCCGGCCCCUAAGGCGAGGCAGAAAUGCGUAGUCGAUGGGAACCACGUUAAUAUUCGUGGGCCUGGGAGUGUGUGACGGAUUUCGAAAGUUGUCAUCCCUUAUCGGAUUGGGAUGGCGGCCUGGAAGUCCCUGGAAAUAGCCCUCCCAUAUAGACCGUACCCUAAACCGACACAGGUGGACUGGUAGAGAAUACCAAGGCGCUUGAGAGAACGAUGUUGAAGGAACUCGGCAAAAUACCUCCGUAAGUUCGCGAGAAGGAGGCCCAGUUUCUACGCAAGUAUUGACUGGGGGCACAAACCAGGGGGUGGCGACUGUUUACUAAAAACACAGGGCUCUGCGAAGUGGCUAACACGACGUAUAGGGUCUGACGCCUGCCCGGUGCCGGAAGGUUAAUUGAUGGGGUU